UCAAAUAUUUGCCUAAAAUAGACUCAGUAACAAGGAAAAGGCAAGGAAAAAAAAGGCAUUCCUAAAAGGCAGAGGGCUUCAUUACUCCAGUAAAAAUUGUCUUCUCUGACCUCAGGCGCCUGACUCAGCAUUUUCCAAGUCGAUAUUUUACAGUAAUAAAAGGGAGAGAGCACCAGGAGGAAAGGCACAAGAACAGCCCCUCUGGUCAAACACAGGCUUAAGGAUACCUCUCCUCCCUGUGAGGGUCUGGUGCUGUGUCCAGAGCUGUGUUCAGAUGCACCACGUAACCCCAAGAGUCUGCCUCCCUCCCUGGAACUCCCACUGGGAAAUCUGUGUGCACAGGAGGAGCUGGGACCCAGUACAAAUAUCAGAGCUACCCUGACAUGAAAUCAGAUCCACGAGAGCAGGUCAUGGAAAGGCAGAGACAGCCCAGGGACUGAGUGAUCUGCCAGAGACAGGGGCUGUGGUUGGUACCUGCAGACACUCCUGCCCCACCAUAGACAAAUGCCCAGCAAACCACAAACCUCACAUCCCCUGUGUGGAGGAGGAAAAUCCUGGAGCACUGUCCUCUCAAGGUGAAAAACUAAUUAACUUCUCUAAACUGCCUGAGAUGUCUACAGUGUAAAAGUGGCAAAUAUUCAGACAUCUCUGUUGCUUUGAAUGGGAUGGGCAAAACUCCCAGUAUCAUCUCAGGGCUUUCAAACACUGUUGUUUCUGUCUCCAUAGUUUUUUUAAGGAAACGAGAGAUCACAGAAUUUAUUUAUUCUUCCCCCAACUCUGCUUUUUCCUUUCUUUUUCC